AACGAACGCUGGCGGCAUGCCUAACACAUGCAAGUCGAACGAGACCUUCGGGUCUAGUGGCGCACGGGUGCGUAACGCGUGGGAACCUGCCCUUAGGUUCGGAAUAACUCCCCGAAAGGGGUGCUAAUACCGGAUAAUGUCUUCGGCCCAAAGAUUUAUCGCCUAUGGAUGGGCCCGCGUUGGAUUAGCUAGUUGGUAGGGUAAAAGCCUACCAAGGCGACGAUCCAUAGCUGGUCUGAGAGGAUGAUCAGCCACACUGGGACUGAGACACGGCCCAGACUCCUACGGGAGGCAGCAGUGGGGAAUAUUGGACAAUGGGCGAAAGCCUGAUCCAGCAAUGCCGCGUGAGUGAUGAAGGCCUUAGGGUUGUAAAGCUCUUUUACCCGGGAUGAUAAUGACAGUACCGGGAGAAUAAGCUCCGGCUAACUCCGUG
rnacentral:rRNA from 1 species